rnacentral:rRNA from 1 species
UACAGAGGGGGCAAGCGUUGUUCGGAAUUACUGGGCGUAAAGGGCGCGUAGGCGGCCACCUAAGUCAGACGUGAAAUCCCUCGGCUCAACCGGGGAACUGCGUCUGAUACUGGGCGGCUUGAAUUCGGGAGAGGGAUGCAGAAUUCCAGGUGUAGCGGUGAAAUGCGUAGAUAUCUGGAGGAAUACCGGUGGCGAAGGCGGCAUCCUGGACCGGCAUUGACGCUGAGGAGCGAAAGCCAGGGGAGCAAACGGG